rnacentral:rRNA from 1 species
GACAGAGGGCGCAAGCGUUGUUCGGAAUUACUGGGCGUAAAGGGCGCGUAGGCGGCCUUCUAAGUCGAACGUGAAAUCCCUGGGCUCAACCCAGGAACUGCGUCCGAUACUGGAAGGCUUGAAUCCGGGAGAGGGAUGCGGAAUUCCAGGUGUAGCGGUGAAAUGCGUAGAUAUCUGGAGGAACACCGGUGGCGAAGGCGGGUCUCUGGGCCGAUACUGACGCUGAGGAGCGAAAGCGUGGGGAGCGAACAGG